GGAAGUAAAAGUCGUAACGAGGUUUCCGUAGGUGAACCUGCGGAAGGAUCAUUACAGAGUUCAUGCCCGAAAGGGUAGACCUCCCACCCUUGUGUAUUAUUACUUUGUUGCUUUGGCGAGUGCAAGCUCGCCAGAGAAUACCAAAACUCUUUUUAUUAAUGUCGUCUGAGUACUAUAUAAUAGUUAAAACUUUCAACAACGGAUCUCUUGGUUCUG
rnacentral:misc_RNA from 1 species